rnacentral:misc_RNA from 1 species
UUCGUCUGCUAUCUUCUGAUUGUGCGCACUGCGGAGUGCGGAGGGGCGUUCGCGAGUUUUUUUCGAGUUUUUUCUUCUUUUCACCUUCUAACUUGUGUUUCCCCCCUUUUUCUACAUGUUGUUACGACCGCAAUUUUAAACUAAUUUAGGACACACGUUAACAUUAUCUUCAAAAUGGGUUUUUUGGAAAGAAAUUACCUCAGAAAGGAACAUCUCGACGGAUUCGACAAUUACAAGUACAGUGCAGUAGACAACAGCCCCCUCAGCAAAUGGGUUAUGCACCCGUUCUGGAAUGCAGUCGUCAAAAUCUGCCCAGAAUGGGUGGCCCCAAACCUAUUGACAUUUGUUGGGUUUUUGUUCACAGCUGGCAAUUGGGUAAUGCUUGGCUAUUAUGACUACUAUUACUAUGCCUCAUCAGAAGGACACUCUCACAUACCCAAUUGGGUUUGGUUAGUCUGUGCCAUUAAUCACUUUCUUGCACACACUCUAGAUGGAAUUGAUGGUAAACAAGCCAGAAAGACACAGAGCAGCACACCUUUAGGAGAACUAUUUGACCAUGGAUUGGAUUCUUGGACUUCUUUCUUUAUACCUGCAGUUUUGUAUUCUGUAUUUGGAAGAGUGGAGCAUACCAUAUCAGUUCUUAGGCUGUACUUCUGCCUAAUUAAUGUGCUCUUCACAUUCUUAUCAUCUCACUGGGAAAAGUACAAUACCGGCGUCUUAUUUCUACCUUGGGGAUAUGAUGUGUCCCAACUGUGCACGUUGAUCAUUUAUUUGGUUACAUUUUCUGCUGGUUACGAGUUUUGGAAAUUCACAUUGCCAGGUGGCAUCACCGCCGGAGCGUGUUUCGAAUUGAUGAUGUGGGGUGGGUCUCUUCUAACUAGUCUGCCAGUUACUUUCUACAACAUGUACAGAGCCCAUCGCGAUGGAACGGGCAAGAAUCGCACCUUUUGGGAAGGUAUGCGUCCGCUCGUGUGUCCCUUCAUGUUUUUCUCGAUGACCACCUUAUGGGUUUUGGCUUCGCCUACAAAUAUCUUGGAGGCCGACCCACGCUGCUAUACUUUUAUGGUUGGUAUCGUGUUUUCCAACAUUUGCUGCCAAUUGAUCGUCGCCCAGAUGAGUAACACUCGAUGCGAAAUUUUCAACUGGUUGUUGAUUCCAGUGGGUGUCGCCGUCGCUUCUGCCCUAUUGUUGCCCAGUUCGUGGCAUCUAGAACUGCCCAUUCUUUACUCGUUGACGGCCUUCACUUUCCUUGCUCACGUGCACUACGGUGUCUGCCUUGUACGCCAAAUGUGCAGACAUCUCAAUAUUUGGUGCUUCCGACUGAAGCAAAGGAAAGAUUGACUUUUAGCCGACAGUGCUUGCUAGUCUCUGCUUCUAUGUGGCCCACUCUACGCGGUUGUGCUACUAUUCGCGAAUAACAGAGAGAGAGAGAGGAGAAAUCUAUGUGUUUUACUGGGUUCUAAUUGAUUUUGUUUAUCAUCGGUGCAAUUAGUUGACAAGAAGAAGGUAGGAGGGUUUAUGUUUCUCCUUGUCUUCCGUUAAAUAUCCGUUUGGGUUUGAGAUAUUGAUACAUAGAUUGCUAUGGGGUAGAUUGGGUUAUUUUUAAGCAGAUGGUUAUUCUAUCCAGCAAGUGCUGUCCCUCGGAAAUAUCAAGUAAAAUAAUAAUUUAAAAAGUGGCAUAGUUUGUGUUUGUGAGCGCCCGGUUAACAAAGCCCCCACCGUCUUUAUUUCCUUUUUUCUUGAUUAACAUAGUCAUAUGACUUGUCACCUUGUCCAACACCUCCUUUCCCAGCAUCAGCACCUACAUUUAAUUUUGUGUUGUUUAUGCCAUCCAAUGAAACUUGACUUCAUAAUUUGUGUGUCCUACCUAAUCACGAAAUCCAACUUUUUGUGUGUAAAAUUUCUAGUGCAGGAAUCCACUUUUGUUAUUAAAAAAAGACAAAACCAA